rnacentral:rRNA from 1 species
GCUACGGGUGGCUGCAGUGGGGAAUAUUGCACAAUGGGCGCAAGCCUGAUGCAGCCAUGCCGCGUGUGUGAAGAAGGCCUUCGGGUUGUAAAGCACUUUCAGCGGGGAGGAAGGCGGUGAGGUUAAUAACCUCAUCGAUUGACGUUACCCGCAGAAGAAGCACCGGCUAACUCCGUGCCAGCAGCCGCGGUAAUACGGAGGGUGCAAGCGUUAAUCGGAAUUACUGGGCGUAAAGCGCACGCAGGCGGUCUGUCAAGUCGGAUGUGAAAUCCCCGGGCUCAACCUGGGAACUGCAUUCGAAACUGGCAGGCUAGAGUCUUGUAGAGGGGGGUAGAAUUCCAGGUGUAGCGGUGAAAUGCGUAGAGAUCUGGAGGAAUACCGGUGGCGAAGGCGGCCCCCUGGACAAAGACUGACGCUCAGGUGCGAAAGCGUGGGGAGCAAACAGGAUUAGAUACCCUCGUAGUC